UCCUUAGUGGCUCAGAAGGUAAAGCGUCUGCCUACAAUGCAGGAGACCCAGGUUCGAUCCCUGGGUUAGAAA
rnacentral:tRNA from 1 species